rnacentral:rRNA from 1 species
CGGAGGAUCCAAGCGUUAUCCGGAAUCAUUGGGUUUAAAGGGUCCGUAGGCGGGUUUAUAAGUCAGUGGUGAAAGCCCAUCGCUCAACGAUGGAACGGCCAUUGAUACUGUAGAUCUUGAAUUAUUAGGAAGUAACUAGAAUAUGUAGUGUAGCGGUGAAAUGCUUAGAGAUUACAUGGAAUACCAAUUGCGAAGGCAGGUUACUACUAAUGGAUUGACGCUGAUGGACGAAAGCGUGGGUAGACGAACAGGGAUUAGAUACCCUGGUAGUCCACGCCGUAAACGAUGGAUACUAGCUGUUCGGAGCAAUCUGAGUGGCUAAGCGAAAGUGAUAAGUAUCCCACCUGGGGAGUACGUUCGCAAGAAUG